CUAAAAACCCUAGGCGCCGCCUCGAGAGAUUUCUCUCUCUUCGUGUCAUUCAUGCCGGAAAUAGCAAUGUUUGUGGGCCAACAAGGCUUGUGCAGUCUUAGUAUGGUUUUUUGGGGCAAAGCAAUUAAUUCUUGCCCACUUUCCACCGCGAUUCAACCAGAAACACGAUCUUGGGGAGCUCGAGACUUGAGUUGCGAUUAGCUUAGGAGGCGAGCGAGGUGCAGACGUUCGUUCUGGUGACCCGCCAGUGUAGGAUACCUAUUCUGCUACUUUGGAGCGCUCCCUUUGAUCCGGAGCCCAUAUUUUUGGUACAUAUCUUUGUUGUACAUGUUUCUGUAUAUAUAUGACUAUUUGGGGUACGGCGGGGCCCUGUCCCGUCAUAUGUUUCUGUUGUGGUUUGUAGAGGCCUGUAGACUUAUAUGUGGGUCAUGGGUCAUUAUUGUUCGUUUAUGUCUGUGAUCGGUGUCUUAAGCGGUCCGUUUGCUGUGAUGGCCGAUACGGCCCAUAUGUGUGUGUCUGGACGUAUAUAUUUUGGGCGAUGUGUUUUCCGUCAGCCUC